rnacentral:rRNA from 1 species
GCAAGUCGAGCGGUAACAGGAAGUAGCUUGCUACUUUGCUGACGAGCGGCGGACGGGUGAGUAAUGCUUGGGAACAUGCCUUGAGGUGGGGGACAACAGUUGGAAACGACUGCUAAUACCGCAUAAUGUCUACGGACCAAAGGGGGCUUCGGCUCUCGCCUUUAGAUUGGCCCAAGUGGGAUUAGCUAGUUGGUGAGGUAAAGGCUCACCAAGGCGACGAUCUCUAGCUGUUCUGAGAGGAAGAUC